UGCACUCACUACUGUAAGUCGCUCUGGAUAAGAGCGUCUGCUAAAAUGACUAAAA
rfam:Salmo salar isolate Sally breed double haploid chromosome ssa03, whole genome shotgun sequence.